rnacentral:piRNA from 1 species
UAAACAAUAUAACUUACUUUGGUGAGACAGC